GGGGUGAGUAAGUGGGGGCGUGGGUGGAUGGGGGGGGAGAGGAGAGAGGGUAGGAAGGAAAAAAUUGGAGGUAGGGUGAGGGAAGGGGGAGGGUUGAAGGGAAAAUAAUGAAACAGAGGAAAAAAGAGAAUAACAAGUAAAAAGCAAUGCAUGUAAAUACAGAGCAAGCAAGUAGGAAAGCUAGGCAUAGCACAGCAAAAGAGAGCAAAGCAAAAGAAGGCAAAGAAUGACAAAAAGCAACCUUGCAGGAAUGGAGGAAUCUGGCCAGAGCUGUGCCCCUGCUUGCCACAGGAGCUGCGCGGGAGGAGAAGAAUGUGGGCCAAAAGGAAUGGAGGAAUCUGGCCAGAGCUGUGCCCCUGCUUGCCACAGGAGCUGCGCGGGAGGAGAAGAAUGUGGGCCAAAAGGUAAGAGGAGCUCCUUUGGGUUCUGGGCUUGAAGCAAAGCUGAGAAGCCAUGCCCGGGAGGAGGUGUGGGUAGCUACAGGCCACCUUGCUAUCUCCCCAAGAUGAGGUGUGUGGGCUAGGCACCGGGCAGGAGUGCUGGCCAGAAGCAAGCAUCUCUGUGGAGGAGGGCAAAGGGCGGAGGAGGUUCAAGGGUAGCUACCGGGCAUGGCCUUGCUCAGCAAGGGGAGGAAAAGCCUGAAGGGCACGAGAAGGGGACAGAGAAGGGCAGGCAGUAGGCGUGAAGCUGUGAGCAGAGUAGAGAGCAACUUGGCGAGCAGCAAGCAGAGUAGGCAAGUGCUGAGGUUUGGCGUGAGUAGCAGCAAAAGCCCAUAGCAUCAAGAAGCAGGAAGUGAGGAGAAGGUAAGUGAAGGGCAGGCAAGGUAAUGGGAAGCAAAGGCAAGGGGAAAGGGGAGGGUAAGGGAGAAAGAGGGAUGGGGAGGGGAGGGGAUGGGUGAAGAGCAGAGCGGAGGGAAGGGCUGAGGGGAGGGCUGAAGGCAAACCAAUGAUGAAAAAAGAAAAGAAAAAUAAGAACAAAAAAUGAAAUAAAGAGAAAAAAAAAAGAAAAAUAAGAAAAAGAGAAAAAAAAAGAAAAAAAAAAGAAGAAAAAAGAAAAGAAAAAAAAAUGAACAAAAAAGAAAAAAAGAGAAAAAAAAAUGAACAAAAAGAGAAAAAAAGAAAAGAAAAAAGAAAAAAAAAAAGAAAAAAGAAAAAAAAAAAAAAAGAGACAGAAAAAUAUGAAAAAAAAGAAAAAAGAAAAAAAAAAGAAAAAAUAAUAGAUGAAAAAAGAAACGAAAGGAAAAAUGGUAAUGCAAGAGAAGAAAGGUAAAGAGAAAAGAAGAAAAGCCAAGUCAAAAAAAGAAUAACUCGAAGGAAGGAGUGGAUGGCAAGAAAUACAGGGAAAGCAAUGCAUAGCACAGCAAAGCAAAGCAAGGCAAAAUAGCAGCCAAAGCCACGAGAAUCAAGAAGUCAGUGAAGAGCAGGAAAGGUAAGUUUCCCUUAAAGCAAGGGGGAAUGGUAGUGGAUGGGGGCAAAAGAG
rnacentral:lncRNA from 7 species